UACAGAGGGUGCGAGCGUUGUCCGGAAUCACUGGGCGUAAAGGGCGCGUAGGUGGUGGCUUAAGCGUGCGGUGAAAGCUCGGGGCUCAACUCCGAGUCGGCCGUGCGAACUGGGCUCACUGGAGCAUAGUAGAGGCAGGUGGAAUUCCGGGGUGUAGCGGUGGAAUGCGUAGAGAUCCGGAAGAACACCGGUGGCGAAGGCGGCCUGCUGGGCUAUGGCUGACACUGAGGCGCGACAGCGUGGGGAGCAAACAGG
rnacentral:rRNA from 1 species